UUUUGUCUCUCCUUCUUCCCUGAUUCACUCUCUCUCUCUCACACUUCUCUUCUACCUCAAGACCCCCAACAACUCCCUCUUUUUCUCCCACUUUCUUUCUCCUUUUCUUCUCUCUUCUCCUACACCUCCAGCACAGACCCAGUCUCGAGACCCCCGACUGCAUCUCUGCCCUCCCAAAUUCCUCUCUCUCUCUCCCUCCACUUUCUCUGCAAAGUCUCUCUCUCUAUCCCUUGUCUACUUACCCUCGCGGAGGGUCUGACUUAUGGAGGGUCAUGUGUCGCAAAUGGGGCUAUGGACGAGGUUGGAGGGCUCGGGCUUGCGAAGGGUCGUGGGUGGCUCGGUCUUGCAGAGAGGUCAUGGGUGGCUUGGACUUGAGGAGAGGUCGUGGGUGAUGGGGAAAAGGUGUGGGUUCGGGCUCGUGGUCUUCCUUGUGCCAGAUGCGGGCUCAUUGGCAGGGAUGGGUAUUAGGCAAACGGUGGGGGUUCAGGGGCCAGUCAUCGGCAAACAGCGGAAAUGACAGGGGCUCGGGGUUCUUGUUAAAACGAUGCAAAUGACGAGCUCAGAGUCGUGGGUGGCUCGGUCUCGCGGAGGGGGUGGGUGGCUCGAUCUCGUGGAGGAGUUGGGUGUCUCAGUCUCGUAGAGGGGUCGUAGGUGGCUCGGUCUUGCGGAGGUGUUGUGGGUGUCUCGGUCUCAUAGAGGGGUCUUGGGUGGUGGCUCUGGAAAUGGGGUUGUGGCGAUUUCUCUCUAUGUUAACGAAGAAGAUGAAGAAUGAAGGACCAGUGGCCCCGAAGAUCAACAACAGAAAAAUGGACAGGUGAAGAGGGUUUGCUACGUGAGGCAGACUUGUUGAGUUUGCAGGUGCAAUGGGCAGGGGCUAUUAUUUAUUUGAAAGGCUAUUGUGAUAUUUUUGGUUUGAGUAUACGCCAGUGCCUGGGAUGAUAGAUUCAAACCCCUUGUUUGAGGUGAUAAAGGUGACAAUAGAUUAACUAAAUUGGUUUGUUGAUUUAUAUAGGAGUACGCAUGGAAGAUGUUGCUGGAAGAUGUUGAUGUUUUACCCUUUACUUGUAGUUGCUAAGAUAGCCCAGCUUCAUAACACACCUCUUUAGUUUAUAGGUUUUGGAGAUAAACAAAUUAUAAUUUAUUUGUGGUAUGUAUGGAUUCUGUGUCUUCAUGUUGUUGUUUUUCUACUACAAUGAUACUAUAAUAUUAAUAUCGUACAUGUUCUUGCUAA